GCCUGGGUGGCUCAGUCGGUUGAGCAUCUGACUUCAGCUCAGGUCAUGAUCUCAUGGCUUGUGAGUUCGAGCCCCACGUCGGGCU
rnacentral:tRNA from 1 species